GCACUGGCAAAAUCCAGUGCCGGGAUUGGAACCCCGUUUGAUAUAGGCAUAAAAACAUCCUCUCAUUGUUUUU
rnacentral:sRNA from 1 species